rnacentral:rRNA from 1 species
AUGAACGCUGGCGGCGUGCCUAACACAUGCACGUCGAACGAAGCACCUUACCUGAUUCUUCGGAUGAAAGUUUGGUGACUGAGUGGCGGACGGGUGGGUAACGCGUGGGUAACCUGCCCUGUACAGGGGGAUAACAGCUGGAAACGGCUGCUAAUACCGCAUAAGCGCACGAGGAGACAUCUCCUUGUGUGAAAAACUCCGGUGGUACAGGAUGGGCCCGCGUCUGAUUAGCUGGUUGGCAGGGUAACGGCCUACCAAGGCAACGAUCAGUAGCCGGUCUGAGAGGAUGAACGGCCACAUUGGAACUGAGACACGGUCCAAACUCCCACGGGAGGCAGCAGUGGGGAAUAUUGCACAAUGGGGGAAACCCUGAUGCAGCAACGCCGCGUGAGUGAAGAAGUAUUUCGGUAUGUAAAGCUCUAUCAGCAGGGAAGAUAAUGACGGUACCUGACUAAGAAGCGCCGGCUAAAUACGUG